UCGGGAAUUUUGGGCAAUGGGCGAAAGCCUGACCCAGCAACGCCGCGUGAAGGAUGAAGUAUUUCGGUAUGUAAACUUCGAAAGAAUAGGAAGAAUAAAUGACGGUACUAUUUAUAAGGUCCGGCUAACUACGUGCCAGCAGCCGCGGUAAUACGUAGGGACCAAGCGUUGUUCGGAUUUACUGGGCGUAAAGGGCGCGUAGGCGGCAAUUCAAGUCAUCUGUGAAAUCUCCGGGCUUAACUCGGAACGGUCAGAUGAUACUGCUUUGCUAGAGUGCAGAAGGGGCAAUCGGAAUUCUUGGUGUAGCGGUGAAAUGCGUAGAUAUCAAGAGGAACACCUGAGGUGAAGACGGGUUGCUGGGCUGACACUGACGCUGAGGCGCGAAAGCGUGGGGAGCAAACAGGAUUAGAUACCCCUGUAGUCCCUGAGCGGGCUGGCAAGGCGCAU
rnacentral:rRNA from 1 species